CAACAACGUCUCCAAAUCAGUAUUUUAAGGAAAAACUAAUUAAAAACAUUUAUUUAGAAAGUUCAAGUUAUGUAGAAACCGCAUUGCCAAAAAUUUUACCAAAAUGCACUAAUGAAGAUCUUUUAUAUAAUGGCAGUUUUCAUGAAGCUGUGGGUAAAGUUAUUCUGAUGUCGCAGUUUUUUGCUCUUAUGCCAAUAAAAGGCGUUACAGCCGCGAGUCCAAAGCAACUCUCAUACUCUUGGAAAAACUUUCGCAACUGGUAUUCCUUAGCAUAUGUGCUUCUCACUUUCAUUGAUUUGGGUUUUGUACUUUAUAAAGUUCUUCAUGGAUCCAUAACUUUUAAUA